UACUGACCAAAGGGUAAAGCAAUACCUUUUCGGUGUCACAGUUUCCUUUCUAAAGGGAACUCAUAUAUUUGGGCCUCUUCCCAGAUACAACACUAAAAUCUCUUGGUUUUUCCCAUACCAUGCUCCACUUCGUUAAAAGGGACAUGAAAAGGUUUUCUUGAUCAACCAGCGUUUAUCAAAUGUUUUUGGUUCACCACACACCUAGAAAAGAGGAACUUCGCUGAUUUCUCUCACCUGACUGCAACCUAUUACACAGAUCUUGGAAGACUAAUAUCUCAGCCUGUCUGA
rnacentral:lncRNA from 13 species